AAGACUUUGACCACUUAGCACUUGGAUUGCAGCAAGACUAUUUUGUCACUCCACCCCAGACACUGUUGUACAAACACUGCGGCGCUGCCUGUCAUACAGACACAGGCGAGAACACAUUCGGGUGUGAGGGGUUUACUUCUCCUUGUGAAAAGCCAUGGCAGUGGAAUCGACCAUGUCACCUGAACACUGCAACUUCCCGUCUGUCCAGUGCAGGUACAGACAUGGUGAAGGUGCCCCGACUUAUCAAAGUGUGAGGAAGAGGAGCUCCAAAGACUGGUACCCUCCAGACAUGGCCUAUGUGAGGAGCAGGCUGCACAUACGGAGGAAGAUAAUGGACAGAAAAACUCAAUGGACUGAUCAUAGUGAAGAUCAACACCUGCCAGGAACUUGGAGCCUACUUACAUCACUUGGAGAACAUUUUUGCCUCGACAGUCUUCAAGUUAGCAAAUGUGAAGAAAGAGGUAGUCUGUUUAUCAUCUGACAGGAAGGAGUCAGCGAGACAUCUGCAUCUCACAGACUUAGUUGCUACUGUCUGUCAUUAAUACUGCCAUUGUGACUGAGGUCAUACCACAUCGAUGAAAAUGUAAAUGUCAAAUCCAAAGUCUUAAGUUUGCAUGAAUUAUGAAGUGGACUAUUUAAGGCUUUGCCCUGCGAUGGACUAAAGACCUGUCCAGGGUGUUACCCCAUCUUUCACCCGCUGUCAGCUGGGAUCGGCUCCAGCUCCCCCUUGACCCUGUCUCUACACAGGAUAGGCGGUUUAUGAUGGAUGGAUGGAUGGAUGGACUAUUUAAGGCUUUGUAAAUAUGUAUUGCAGUUUUUGCUAAUCCAUAUUUAAUAAAUAUAUUUAUUAAUUAUUAAUAAAUCCUGUAAUUAUUAAUGUGA